rnacentral:snRNA from 1 species
ACGGGCGAGAGACCGAUA